rnacentral:rRNA from 1 species
UACGUAGGGUGCGAGCGUUAAUCGGAAUUACUGGGCGUAAAGUGUGCGCAGGCGGCCGCGCAAGUCGAGUGUGGAAGCCCCGAGCUUAACUUGGGAAUUGCGCUCGAAACUACGUGGCUGGAGUGUGGCAGAGGAAGGUGGAAUUCCACGUGUAGCGGUGAAAUGCGUAGAGAUGUGGAGGAACACCGGUGGCGAAGGCGGCAUCCUGGACCGGCAUUGACGCUGAGGCGCGAAAGCCAGGGGAGCAAACGGG